AACGAACGCUGGCGGCGUGGAUAAGACAUGCAAGUCGAACGGGAGUUUAUUUAUAGCAAUAUGAGUGAACUCUAGUGGCGAAAGGGUGCGUAACACGUAGCUACCUACCUCGAAGUUGGGGAUAGCUCGGCGAAAGCCGGAUUAAUACCGAAUGUGAUCGUGAGAUUAAAGCUGGGGAUCGUAAGACCUGGCGCUUUGAGAUGGGGCUGCGGCCUAUCAGCUAGUUGGCGGGGUAACGGCCCACCAAGGCUUAGACGGGUAGCUGGUCUGAGAGGACGACCAGCCACACUGGAACUGAGACACGGUCCAGACACCUACGGGUGGCAGCAGUCGAGGAUUUUUCUCAAUGGGGGAAACCCUGAAGGAGCGACGCCGCGUGAGGGAUGAAGGUCUUCGGAUUGUAAACCCUCUGUCAUCUGGGAACAAAGUGAUCUACCCAACACGUGGAUUAUUGAUAGUACCGGGAAGAGGAAGCAGUGGCUAACUCUGUGCCAGCAGCCGCCGC
rnacentral:rRNA from 1 species